rnacentral:lncRNA from 1 species
AACAACUGACUUGGGUACGAUUCCUUUAACAUCCCGACUUGGGAACGAACUCCGCUGCACCUACAUCAAUCCUAGCCGGCUUCAAGAUGCCACGCGGACGCGAAGUGGAGGACCGCGACCCCAGAUGGCCAUGACGUCGUCCUUCGGCCCUGCUUCACUGGGGCGUGGUCUUUCAGUGUCGAGCAGCCUCAGGUGGGAGGCAUUGAGGGGCGCGUGGCUCUGGUGUUGCGCACCGGUGGCGGCAGCCAGCAUCGGCAGUAAGCUCAUGGUUUUCAUCCCCUCCCUGUCUUCCCCUUUGACUCUCUCAUACUCUGAACCGUCCGCCACAUGGACACCAACGCACAGGCAGUAGUGCAUCGAGGAAGUAGCAGUUACAGACCGCCAUUCGAGUUCCUCUACAAGCAGCAGUUGGACAAUAGUUAAUUGGUGCUCUCCCCAUCACCCAUUGUUGCAGUUCUUCAGCAGCAGCUAGUUGUCGGCCCUGUGGCAGUUAUUAUUUGGUUGUGGGGCAGUUAGAGAAAAAUAGUUAGCUGUGUUAAAUCAAAACGUUAACUGAUAUAUUGACCUUGUUAACUGCACAACUUUGCCCUCGUUGUCUCUUCAGUCAAAUUUAUUUUAGCGAUUUCUGUUAGAUUGUUGAUUUUCAUCCAUUGGUGCGUUGAAAACAAAAGAAGUUAACUUUUUUUUCUUCUGUAACAGUUAACUAUGGAAUUUGCAUAAGUUAUUAAAAACGGGAAAAGUUAACCCAUCGGGCUGCUGUUGUCACCAUGAUGUCGGUGCCACACAAUCUGAUGCUCUUGCUGUUAAAAACAAAUGCAGUUAACUUCAGUUAAUCUGAUGCUCUUGCAGAAGCGCCGGCAAGGACAUCUCAUCAUCGAUGAUGCUGUCCAUCACCAGAGUCAACCGGGUUCGUCGGACGCAGGCUC